rnacentral:misc_RNA from 1 species
AUGAAUGAAACUGCUGUAGCUGAGAAGUUAAUCAUAAAAUAACAUCAUGUUCUUCUUAAUAAUCAUCAUACUGUUCUGUCGCAACCUCUUUGUGAUUCUGUUAGUAUUGCUUGGUUACUUUUUGCUGAGUGUAUUUUAACACAAGAAGCAGUUAGUAGAGUGGUAUCAGUUAUUCUCUCUAUUCUGAAUCAACGUAAGGCUCUAUUUACUGCUGUCAAAGAAGCCAUUCAAACUAAUCCCACCAGUUUACAUACGUUUGCUUAUGUAUUGUGCACAGUAAGAAUUUUCCUGAAGUGGUUCUUGUUACUUAAGCUAUUGAAAAUCAUGAUGUACAUGUACAUGUAGCUUAAUUCACAAGUGUAGUGGAAGAAAUGGAGAUCACUGAAGCAAAGGAACACAUUGAGGCAUGUAGAGCUGAGUUAAAGGAAUUCUAUAAAUCAAUCUCACGACUUUUAUUUUUGACUGGAAGCCAGAGGAACAUGUGCUUGAAGAAAUAAAGGACAUUCUGUCAGAAGUGUCAGAAACAAAAGGAAAAUAAUCAAGAAUUGCUUUAGCAUACAGAGGUUGUUUCUUAUUAUUAUACUUAAAGAAGCUGAAUAUAAACUAAGAGAUGCUAUCAGUAGCAAAGAGAAGCUGAUUGAAACAUGUACUAUUAGAAGAACCACUUUAUGAGAUAAAAGAGGUCAAUAAAGCACUGUCAGACAAAUCAUCAAAAAUGAAGGUUGAUUAUUUGAGAAUACUUUCCAGUAAUACUGGUUCAGGAAUAACUCUUGAAAUUGAUGGUUGAAAAUUUCAAAUGACAAGUCCAGAUUAUCAGCCAUAGAUAAUAAAAAUAAUAAUAGAGACAUUGCAAGAAAAAAUAACAUUUAUGAAUAUGCAACUAAUUACUGAAAGAGAAUGCAAAAUUUGAUUGAGCUUGAGAGUAAAAGACAGAGAAAAUUACCAAUAAUUGAAAAAAAAUGUUUAAUGUUAAAUAAAUUAUAAUUGUAAUCAUCCUGUCAAUAAUAGACUAUUGUCUUCAAUCUUCAUUGUACAAAAAGACAAUUUAUUACCCAUUGUACUUGAUAAAGCUUAUGAGCUCCUCACAUUCCUAUUGAGAGAUGUCGUUUAGUUAAAUAUGAUUAUUUUGAUAAAGUAAUGGAAUAGUCCUUUGAUCUUAGUGAAUAUCAUACUAUGGGACAGAUUGUUGGUGGGGCUAAAUGGUGUUAUCAUUUUGGAUUAUUCUUAGAAACUAGCAAGGAAGAUAAAGUAUUCAAAAAAUACAAUGAUCGAGGUUAAUUUGGUUUUUAACAAUGUCAAUAUGUGCAUAUCUAAUUACGUGUAUGCGUGUUUGAUGAUGUACAUGUAGGUAUUAAUUUAAUGAUAUCAGUGGUUGAUCUGUCAACUGGUGAAAUAUCACCAGCUAAACCAUUGAGAAGUGAAAAGAAUUGGACUGUUGGAGAAGCAAAGCAAUACAUGGAAGAAGUAAGAGGAAGGAUAUAUUUUAUAUUAAUGUAACACACAGUUAUGGCGUAAGGAUUGGACUUCCGACAGCAAUACAGCACAAAGCACUAAGUAAUAUUAGUUGCUGUUGAGAUUCCACAUUUGCAUCAGUUGCAUGCAUCACUCUAUAGAUUGUGCAGGAGUACAAGUGCAUGUACAUUUACCUCGAAGGUUUUGCACUCAUAGAAAAGUUUUUGAAAAGUUUGAUGCACUGUUUAUGUUUCGACGAGACAAAGAGACAUUUUAAAACCAUGCUGUGCUCAUUAGGAUGAUUUUCUUCACAUGGCAGUCUGCACGAUGAUUGAUGCAGUAUCCAAUAGUUAUGGAAAAUUUGCAAUAAGCUGACAAUCAUAUGGUAAAGGACUAUUAUAAGCCUAUUUUACAACUGGUAGAGCGUUUUAUUUUGUUUCUUCAUCACAAGGAGCUUCUGAUCAUUAUUUGCUAGUGAUUAUAUGAAGCCAAUUAAGUAGCCUAUCAGGCAGUGCCUUUGAAACACCCAUGUACUAUACUACAUCUAUAAUGUCAUUUAUAUUCAUCCCUCCAUUGAUGUGGUCAAUUUUUUUAGUUAUUUAAUAUCAAUUUGUCGUGUAUGAGAUUAGUAAUUAAGAAGGAUGGUUUCUGGCAGUGUCAUACUUCUUUCAGUGAUAUUAGUGAUGUAAAAAGUACUUUGGGGAAUGUACAUAUAGGAGAAACAUUUAGAGUUAGCUCAUUUGCAAGUACAUGCAUGUAAACAUGCAAGUACUACCGUAUAGCUGUUGAUUUUCAAUGGUACAAUAUUUUGUGUUUUUUCCAAAAUUUCCUUAGAAGCUAAUAUUUAUGGGUAUAUUCGUGUCUGGCAGUUAGUAAGCUUCUUUUCACUUUGACCUACAGCACUAGUUUCUGAUACAUGACUUAUAGUGGAAUAUGGAGUAACAAACAAAGACUCUAGCUCCUCCAUUGGCUUGGAAAUGGUAGUUAGAGCUUAGCCUCUGAAUGGCUUGUUAAUUAGUUUUUAUGUGUAUGUGUAGGUGGUAGAGGUUAAAACUCCUUUGAUAAAAAUGCUCCGCAAAAUUAACAAAAAUUAAUACCCCACGAAAAUUACCAAUAAUAAAGUAUCUUUAAUACUGUAUUAAAGUAUUGGCCAUUGGGAUUCUGUAAGAAGCACUGACUGAGCUGUAAAAUAGGCAGUGGGAAAAGGGGCGGUGAAGGGGCCUGAGCCCCCCCCCUCAGUCUUAGAACAAAAGGGGCUAAGCCCACCCCCCCCCACCCUGAAAUUCUCCACAACCUAAAAUGAAACUUACUUUUAUUAGUAACACUGCAUUUGCUGUCAGUAUUUUCUUUGAGAAAAACACAAAGAAAACAACUUGAAACCCAUUAACAGAAAAUUAAAGCCAUUUUGUAUGAGGCCAUACCUAUCACUGCCUAUGCAGUUCAUGUAUGCUGGAAAUAUUCACAAAACUGUCAUUCUCCUAAUUAAUUCCCUGCCACUGGCUGCCAGUAGUGUAUACAGCUAAUCAUGAUUAUUUUAAUUGUGUUGUACUUCUUUAGCUCUUUCCAUGCAUACAGUUCUAUGUAUCAUCAGAUCCUGAAGAUUAUCAAAAAAAUACAAAGAUAGCUUGAUGUACGAAUAUGUUGAGUUUCAUUUCAACUCAAUACUACUGAACAUUACAAUACCUCUCCUGGGCCUAAAGCUACACCUACAUGUACUACAACUAAUGAACAUGAAGGAGGAGAAAUAAUGAAAAUUAUAUCAGUAAAUGAAGAAUAUAAAGGAAAUGAAAAGAAGGUUCAGGUACUAGUUGACAGGAGUAUAACCUUAGCUCAACUAAAGCAGGAGCUAGUUGCACUAAUUGGUGUAUCACCUACUGCAUGGUUUUAGAGUGUUUAAAAUAAAGAAGAAGAAAUGAAGGGACUAGAUGAGACAAUAAGGAGCAUUAAUUCAGGAUCUGAGUAAGACAUGGGUAGAGCAGCAGGAAGAGUAGGGCAUAAAAUUAAAUUUAUUUAUUACAAGUUAACAAUACAGAAUUUUGUAGCUAUGUGAUGGAUUUGAUUGUUACAAAUACACAAGUGGGAGAAUUUAAGAAACAAAUUAUUGAAGAAGCAAAAGUGCAAGGAAUUGACUGUGUCCUUGAAUUAGAAAAAAUGAGACUACAUGUUAAGAGUGGAGUUUCCCCUGGUACAGUAUAUUUUGAUCAUCAAAAUUUUUAUGCUAGUCAAAUAUAUGUUGAACCACUGAAUGAGAAGAUGGAGUAUGAAACACAAGAGCAGGUGUAUGUUAUAAGAUAGCAUCCAUCGCAAUGUUCAGUUGAUCCAAUAGAAGAAAUUAUUCUGGAUAAUGAUGAUGAUCCUAAGCAUCUUAUUAAAAAGUUUUUUAUAAUGUUGAAAAUUAAUUAAAUUGACCUACAUGUGCAUGCAUUUUAUAUUAUGAGACAAGUCAUUGAAAUGUUCUUAUUGCAAUAUUGUACAUAAUGCUUAUAUCAAUAUUGUGUGAAAUAA